rnacentral:tRNA from 1 species
CAGAGAAUAGUUUAAUCUAGAAUUCUAGCUUUGGGGGCUAGAGGUGGAAGUUUGAAUCUUUCUUCUCUGG